CAGGUUUCCAACAACUGAGCUCCCAGAGUGAGCAAUUCCUGUCCCUUUUAAGGGCUCACACCUCUAAGGGGGUCCGCGUGAGAGGAUCGUGGUUGAUUGAGCAAGCAGGGGAGAACACCAAAGUCUAGCUGUUGGUUCCAGGCCAGCUCAGGGCAACACUGAGGGCUACUGAUAGUACCAGGCCAGCUCCUGGAUGUCAGGCCUACUUUUCUCCUUAGCAGAGAGGGUCUCCUUGCUAUCCUCUGACCAUGCUACCUCACGCCAAUCCCCAAAGCCAGGAAUAGGUGAGUUGUUUGUAGUAAGAGAACUCCCAUUUUCAUCAGUGGAACUGGACAACUACACUGGUCCAAUUCAGGCAAAUGGAUAGAGUUCACAGCACCAAACCAGAAGCCCUGAACUUCAGACAGAGACGAGGCUGUUAAAUUCUUGUGGGUUUCCAGUGCCACCACAGACAGACUAAAUGGCAUAAUUCAUUCACAGCCACAGGAAAUUAAUAUAACUGCGAAGGAAAAGAUUUCCCCUGCUCGAGUCUCCCUGCACUCCUACCCAUCUGAGAGAAACAGAACUGUUGAGUAGCUGAUGCAAUUUCAUCCAUAAUAUUGUGGAUUCACCAUUGAUUCAGCAUCUGAUCCUCAGCACUGUAUAUCUAAGAACUCAUUCUCCUUGGUUCAUCAGGCAUGAUCAGAUUAAGGAUUCAUACACACUGACCUAACUCACAGGAGAGAGUUAUAAAUCAGAACACCAAUUUAUUGCCUUGUUCAUGGAAAUAGAAACACUACAUGUGUCAGCUUACUCAGAUCAGCAGCUAAACACUGUUCAGUGUUGAUUGGGAAAUAUAAAGCCAGAAUGAAGGCAGCUGGUUCAUCUUGAUAGCAAAUGUUACCAAAUCUCAUAGUCUGGUGCCCUAAUCUCCAUGGGAUUAGAACAUGUACAUCGACCAGAGAGGUUCUCUUUCUCCUGACUAUGCUGGGACAUUCUGGCAAAUUCUGACUCAUCACUCCCUUUCUAGAAUCCUUAAAGACCAUCAUCACGCUAUUUCAAGAAUAUUCCUUCAGAUGUGUUACAAAGAUUAAAUGUUGAUUUAUGGUAUCUCUAAAGAUUUGGAUUGUAGUCUCAUCAGAAAUAUUUAUUUAUAAGCCAUCUCUUCAUUCACUCGUUGAUUCAUCCAGAAAUGCUAUUCAGUAUUUAUUAAGUGCCAGGCGUUGUGCUAAGAUUUGAGACACAGAGAUAAGAUAAAGGUCCCAUUCUCCAAGACUCUUGUUUUUUUAGUGGAUUAAAAGCUGCUAAUGUAUUCCUUCUGUAGAUAUACAUAAUUUCACCAAUUUCUUGUGACUUCAUGAACCUUAUUUUUGCAAGACAACAUGUCCUAAUUCUUGUCAAAUUUAGGGAUGGUGGUAUUGGGGAGCUACAAACCAGUCAAAUCAAUUCAAUGAAAAAUCCUAUUAUUUGAACAAUUUUAAUCACAUCUGAUUUUGACUAUUUUAUCUAAGUGUUAACAUUUCACUAGUUGAGUGUUACAAUGAGCCUAGCAUUUAAACAGUCUUAGUUAUGUUAACAUUCUUAAAAACAGAGAAGUGGCAGCCAGGCACGGUGGCUCAUGCCUGUAAUCCCAGCACUUUGGGAGGCCGAGGCGGGCGGACGCCUGAGGUCAGGAGUUCAAGACCAGCCUGACCAACACGGAGAAACCUCGUCUCUACUAAAAAUACAAAAUUA
rnacentral:lncRNA from 1 species